rnacentral:rRNA from 1 species
UACGUAGGGGGCAAGCGUUGUCCGGAAUCAUUGGGCGUAAAGAGCGCGUAGGCGGUCCGAUAAGUCGGCUGUGAAAGUCAGGGGCUCAACCCCUGAAUGCCGGCCGAUACUGUCGGGCUAGAGUCCGGAAGAGGCGAGUGGAAUUCCCGGUGUAGCGGUGAAAUGCGCAGAUAUCGGGAGGAACACCAAUGGCGAAGGCAGCUCGCUGGGACGGUACUGACGCUGAGGCGCGAAAGCGUGGGGAGCGAACAGG